rnacentral:rRNA from 2 species
UCAUUAAAUCAGUUAUCGUUUAUUUGAUAGUACCUUACUACUUGGAUAACCGUGGUAAUUCUAGAGCUAAUACAUGCUAAAAACCUCGACUUCGGAAGGGGUGUAUUUAUUAGAUAAAAAACCAAUGCCCUUCGGGGCUCCCUGGUGAUUCAUAAUAACUUAACGAAUCGCAUGGCCUUGUGCCGGCGAUGGUUCAUUCAAAUUUCUGCCCUAUCAACUUUCGAUUGUUGGGUCUUGGCCAACAAUGGUUUCAACGGGUAACGGGGAAUUAGGGUUCUAUUCCGGAGAGGGAGCCUGAGAAACGGCUACCACAUCCAAGGAAGGCAGCAGGCGCGCAAAUUACCCAAUCCUGAUACAGGGAGGUAGUGACAAUAAAUACUGAUACAGGGCUCUUUUGGGUCUUGUAAUUGGAAUGAGUACAAUUUAAAUCCCUUAACGAGGAACAAUUGGAGGGCAAGUCUGGUGCCAGCAGCCGCGGUAAUUCCAGCUCCAAUAGCGUAUAUUAAAGUUGUUGCAGUUAAAAAGCUCGUAGUUGAACCUUGGGCCUGGCUGGCCGGUCCGCCUCACCGCGUGCACUGGUCCGGCCGGGCCUUUCCUCCUGGGGAGCCGCAUGCCCUUCACUGGGUGUGUCGGGGAACCAGGACUUUUACUUUGAAAAAAUUAGAGUGUUCAAAGCAGGCCUAUGCUCGAAUACAUUAGCAUGGAAUAAUAGAAUAGGACGUGUGGUUCUAUUUUGUUGGUUUCUAGGACCGCCGUAAUGAUUAAUAGGGACAGUUGGGGGCAUCAGUAUUUAAUUGUCAGAGGUGAAAUUCUUGGAUUUAUUAAAGACUAACUACUGCGAAAGCAUUUGCCAAAGAUGUUUUCAUUAAUCAGUGAACGAAAGUUAGGGGAUCGAAGACGAUCAGAUACCGUCGUAGUCUUAACCAUAAACUAUGCCGACUAGGGAUCGGGCGAUGUUAUCUUUUUGACUCGCUCGGCACCUUACGAGAAAUCAAAGUC